CGCAAGCGUGAGGAAGGUGGGGAUGACGUCGUAUCAGCACGCCGCUUAUGUCUCGGGGCUCUCACACGUGCUACAAUGGCCGGUACAGUGGGCAGCUCAUGCGCGAGCAUUUGCUAAUCUCUAAAACCGGUCUCAGUACGGAUCGGAGUCUGCAACCCGACUCCGUGAAGCUGUAUUCGCUAGUAAUCGCACAUCAGCCAUGGUGCGGUGAACUACGUUCCCGGGCCUUUGU
rnacentral:rRNA from 1 species